GAAGUGCGUCCUUCAACCUUGGACGAAGGAUCCAGCAGGUGGAUCCUUCGUGGCCCCGCUGACAGGGAGCUCACGGAUUACACGUUUAACUUAACAAGGAGAGAGAGAGAGGAGGAGUUCAGCCAAUGAGAGGGUGCUGACAAGUCUAUCUGAAGUUAUCAGCUGGAAGGAGGGAGAACGGAUAAAUGGUGGGAAGCCGACACUCAGCCGACACACAGCCGACACACAGCCGACCGACCGUGGUGAUGUGGGAAUGUCGUGCACCAACACCAACAUCAUGGAGGAAACAAAAACAGCAUGUCGGAUGAAAUUACAGUAUUAAACGGCUGCAGGCAGAUGUGACUUCGGCAUGAAGCAUUAGUUCAGGGGGAAUCCAUGUUAGUUUAGGACGUGUCUUACAACCACAAUAAACCACAGCAGCCUCCUCAUCUUGUGGCUCCUAUCCUGUAUUGUAGUUGUUCACACAUAUAAACCCAGAGUUUUCAAGACACCUGACCCUGUGGGAUCUCACACUUGCUCUCUUUGCCUUUUCUUUGCCCGGGUUUAUAAAAUCCAGACUUCAGCGCACCAAACCUAAACCACGGAAGAAGGCGGGAAACACCAUCUGAAG